rnacentral:rRNA from 1 species
CAUGGUUUUUUGAUUAUAAUUUAAAAUCUAAUCUGCUCAAUGAUUUUUUAAAUUGCCGCAAUAUUUUGAUUGUGCAAAGGUAGCAUAAUAAUUAGUUUCUUGAUUAGAAGCUGGAAUGAAUGAUUGGACGAUAAAAUGGCUGUCUCUAGUUAAUUGAUCAAUAAAUUUUAUUUUUAAGUUAAAAAGCUUAAAUUUUAUUAAAAGACGAGAAGACCCCAUAGAGUUUUAUAAUUAAAAUUUUUUUAUAUUUGGAAGUUUUUCUUAAUUUUUAUUAUUUGAUUGGGGUGAUUUGAAAAUUUAAUUAAUUUUUUAAAAUUUAAAUUUUUAAUAUAAAAAUUUACUAUCUAUAUGUUUAAAGUUAAAAUAAAUUACCUUGGGGAUAACAGCGUAAUUUUUUUAAAAGUUCUUAUUGAAAAAAAAGUUUGCGACCUCGAUGUUGGAUUAAAAUUAAUUUUAG